GGAAGGGCAAUCAAGUCUACAGUGGUUCCCUCAGUGUAGCCACAAUCACCCACUUCUGCCCGUCAAAGAAAACACUACUGAGACACGUGGUCCAGACGUAUCAGCCUUAUUCAAGGGAGGGCUCCUGAUGGAAGUCACAGUUCGCAAAAGGGCAAGUUCCCUCAAAGACAGGUAAUAUUUUUGGAGUAACAGGAAGGGGGAAAUACAAUGUCCUAAUAAUCACGCCCAACAGAACCUAACCAAACCUUUCCAGCAGUUGGACUGGGCCAGCCUUGGCACAAAUAAGUACACAGGUGACUUUAGAUGCUGCAGUUGAUUUCAAACAGGUGUCUCUGAUUUCUUCCCCGACACAGUCUGGAUAACGUGGGGUCAGUAUGUGUUGUGUAGAAUAGAGACAAGGACAGUCACUGAGUGGUAUUCUGUUGAAGAAUCAGGGAACCCUUCCACUCUCCCUUUCAGCUCUUUCAAACCUUCCCUUUUCCAAGUGGCCCUUCCCGCCAAAGGAGUCUCAAAAAGGCGACCUGUUGUAGUAGCCUCCAAGGUGCGGUCCCAGCCGCUGCCCCACGUCUCCUGGGGAGUCCGGUGGCCGCCUCGACUCCUCGGGCCGUAUAUUUGCAGAGACGAGGUGCUGGGCGGUGGGCCGGACUGCGGGGGGCCGUUAGUAUAGAUCCUCCUUCCCCGCGUCUACGAGCACCCCCCGGGUUCUGCCGAAAGCGCUCGCCCAAUCUCCCCUUUACUCUCUUUUCAAGUUCAGCUCAGGUACAGUGUGACAGUUACAGCGCCCGGGAGCUGGCAGGCGCCGCCGCUGCCGCGGCAGCAGCAUCUGCUUCCGCGCAGAACGCGCUUCUCCCGCGGUACAUACCUGGUAAAGUGCGCGCCGGGGCUGAGUUGCAUAGAGACUUUCUCCUCGUCGUGCACCCGGAAAGGGCUCCCGAGAAAGCAGCUCGCGAACAGCCUAAGCCGACGCGCCGAUGGGAGCAUAAAUAAAGCUCAAGCGAGCUCUUCUUCCCCUUCCCCCAUCCCUCCGUGCCUCCCUCCUCCUUUUCACCUUCCAAAAGCCAGGAGCAGGCGAGCCGAGCAGCAGCAACAAGUUCAAAAGAAAUUCCUGUUUUUCCUCCUUGUAUUACAUUUUACAUACUGUGCUUGGCUGACAGAAAAUAAACUCAGCGAAAUCAAAAUUGAAUUCAUCACUUUUCUUCUUGAGUCAGCUACUCCUGUUUUCUCUCCUUGGGUAAAGCUUGAGCUGCCAUCUUGGUGUAGCCAGCACUCCAUCCAUCUCACAAUCUGAAGUCAGAAGUCUUGAGUUGGAGGUAAGCUUGAUAUAUGAACUUUUAAUGUAAGGAAUCACUUUUAGCAGUCUUUGUACAUGACAUAUACA
rnacentral:lncRNA from 1 species